CCUACGGGUGGCAGCAGUGGGGGAUAUUGCACAAUGGGCGAAAGCCUGAUGCAGCGACGCCGCGUGAGGGAAGACGGUCCUCGGAUUGGAAACCUCCGUCUGUGGGGGAGAAAAUGACGGUACCCAUAGAGGACGCUCCGACGAACUACGAGCCAGCAGCCGCGGUAAUACGUAGGGAGCAAGCGUUGUCCGGAUUUACUGGGUGUAAGGGGAGCGUAGGCGGGAUGGCAAGUAGAAUGUUAAAUCCAUCGGCUCAACCGGUGGCUGCGUUCUAAACUGCCGUUCUUGAGUGAAGUAGAGGCAGGCGGAAUGCCUGGUGUAGCGGUGAAAUGCGUAGAUAUUAGGCGGAACACCAGUGGCGAAGGCGGCCUGCUGGGCUUUAACUGACGCUGAGGCUCGAAAGCGUGGGGAGCAAACAGGAUUAGAUACCCUUGUAGUC
rnacentral:rRNA from 1 species